rnacentral:tRNA from 10 species
GGGUGAUUAGCUCAGCUGGGAGAGCACCUCCCUUACAAGGAGGGGGUCG